GCUCUCGUAGCUCAGAUGGAUAGAGCAUCAGAUUGCGGAUCUGAAGGUCGGAGGUCCGAGUCCUCUCGAGAGCACCC
rnacentral:tRNA from 1 species